CUACGGGCGGCUGCAGUGGGGAAUAUUGCACAAUGGGCGCAAGCCUGAUGCAGCCAUGCCGCGUGUAUGAAGAAGGCCUUCGGGUUGUAAAGUACUUUCAGCGGGGAGGAAGGGAGUAAAGUUAAUACCUUUGCUCAUUGACGUUACCCGCAGAAGAAGCACCGGCUAACUCCGUGCCAGCAGCCGCGGUAAUACGGAGGGUGCAAGCGUUAAUCGGAAUUACUGGGCGUAAAGCGCACGCAGGCGGUUUGUUAAGUCAGAUGUGAAAUCCCCGGGCUCAACCUGGGAACUGCAUCUGAUACUGGCAAGCUUGAGUCUCGUAGAGGGGGUAGAAUUCCAGGUGUAGCGGGGAAAUGCGUAGAGAUCUGGAGGAAUACCGGUGGCGAAGGCGGCCCCCUGGACGAAGACUGACGCUCAGGUGCGAAAGCGUGGGGAGCAAACAGGAUUAGAUACCCCCGUAGUC
rnacentral:rRNA from 1 species